UCUUACUCUGUCCUUCAACGUUCUUCUACUUGAUCUAAGAAUCAAAUGGAUACAAGACAGACUAACGGGUAAAAAUCAAACAAAAGUUUUAUAAUAUUUAUAUCUCCUGUAUUCACAGGAAAGACCCAGGAAAACUGAAUAACUCCUCAAAAUGACUGAGACAAUCACCUUCAAUGCCAUCUCCAGCUAAAGACAAAAGAUGAUGACGUUGGAGGUAGGAAGUCAGCUAUGAGAGGUCACCAAAAAAAGCACGAUAAACACAGCACGAGCUGGAUCUCUAACGCCACAGAAAAUGCUUCUAGUCAGAGUCACCUCCCAAACACAGACAGUUAGGGCAAAAGCAAAACAGAAUGACCAGGGACUGAGGCAUAGACCAGAUUCGGCCGAUUAUCCCACCUGCCUCUUGAGAUACAACGGACAGUUUCCUCUCAGCACUUUCCCAUUGACCAAGGUAAGAGCCUAAGAAAUGCCCCCUGGAGUCAGUUCAAUCAA